GCCGGGAUGGCGGAAAUGGUAGACGCAGUGGACUUAAAAUCCAUCGUUCUCUCAGAACUUGAGGGUUCAAGUCCCUCUCUCGGUA
rnacentral:tRNA from 1 species